rnacentral:tRNA from 1 species
GGGGUUGUGGCUCAGCGGUGGAGCACUCACCUAGCACGCGCAAGGACCUGGGUUUAAUCCUCAGCACCUCA